AAAGGGAAAGAACGAAAAACUUAGUGCAGACAACCAAGAGUCAGGCAGCCCAGUAGCUACAGGUCUUGCUCCAAGCUUGGAUGUGGGUCAGAGGCAGCUAACUCCGGAUCGCCUUCAUGACACCGAGUCUAGGCAAGAUCCCAGGGAAGACGUGGCAAGGGAAACGGAACUUGCUGUCACAGCACCCAGUACUC
rnacentral:lncRNA from 1 species